GGCGCUAUAGUGUAGUGGUUAUCACUCAAGAUUCUGAUUUGAUUAGAGUUCUUGUAACCCCGGUUCGAAUCCGGGUAGUGCCU
rnacentral:tRNA from 1 species